GUGUCGUGGUAGACAAAAUAUUGGUCCUACAAAGUUGUUCACAUCCUUAUCUCCAGAAUCUGUGGAUAUGAUACUUUCCAUGGCUUAAG